rnacentral:rRNA from 1 species
CGAACGGGUGAGUAUCGCGUGGGUAAUCUACCUUGAGUGGGGGAUAGCCUCGGGAAACCGAGGAUAAUACCGCAUACGUCCUUAACGUCAUAAGGCGACGAGGGGAAAGGCGGGGCUCCUUCGGGACCUGUCGCCUCUGGAUGAGCCCGCGUCCGAUUAGCUUGUUGGUGAGGUAAUGGCUCACCAAGGCUUCGAUCGGUAGCCGGCCUGAGAGGGUGAACAGCCACACUGGAACUGAGACACGGUCCAG